AAUGAUGAUUCAUAUAUAGCAAGUCAUCAGGCCAAAGCGCAUGUCCUCCUAAAUGGAAAUCAAUUCUGAUAACAAAGUCAUGUCAGUUUAUCCAGAAAGAUCCCCAUAGAAGGUCUAGAUACAACUGGAAGUAACAUCAGCAGCAUUUGGGAGACCAGGUAGCCACAGGUGUGGACAUGUGACCUUGCCAGCUAGUAUAUGCUCUUCUCUCGUGUUUCCAGCUUAAGCUACCCACAGCUGAAGGAUUUUAAGCUAAUGGUGUCCCAGAAUACCAAAGAUUUCUAAAUCAUUCUGAAGAACAGUCGGCUUCCAGCAGCAGUGACAUUCAAGGAUGGAAAGAGAGGGGCAUGAUUCCUUUGUGGAGAAAAGUUUGAAAACUGGACACAGAAUCACUACUAACAUUUUGGGGCCCAGCAGACAGUUUGAAUGGAAGUCAUGGUGGCAGAUGAAUGGAAGUCAUGGUGGCAGACAUCCUUAUGGUCUUACUGAUCACAGUGGAAUGGUUUCAAAAUUUCAAUAGAUACACCAGAAAUACAUCUACACGUGGAACAACUCCUACAGAACACCUACUGAAGGCUGGCAGAAGACCUCAGACCUCCCAAAAGGCAAGAAACUCCCCACGUACCUGGGUAGGGCAAAAGAAAAAAAGAAAAAACAGAGACAAAAGAAUAGGGACGGCACCUGCACCAGUGGGAGGGAGCUGUGAAGGAGGAAAAGUUUCCACACACUAGGAAGCCCCUUCGCGGGCGGAGACUGCGGGAGGCGGAGGGGGGAGCUUCGGCGCCGCGGAGGAGAGCACAGCAACGGGUGCGGAGGGCAAAGCGGGGAGAUUCCCGCACAGAGGAUCGGUGCCGACCCGCACUCACCAGCCCGAGAGGCUUGUCUGCUCACCCACCGGGGCGGGCGGGGCUGGGAGCUGAGGCUCGGGCUUUAGUCGGAGCGCCGGGAGAGGACUGGGGUUGGCGGCUUGAACAUAGCCUGAAGGGGUUAGUGCACCACAGCGAGCCGGGAGGGAGUCCGGGGAAAAGUCUGGACCUGCCGAAGAGGCAGGAGACUUUUCCUUCCCUCUUUGUUUCCUGGGGCGUGAGGAGAGGGGUUUAAGAACGCUGCUUAAAGGAACUCCAGAGACGGGCGCGAGCCGCGGCUGAAAGCGCGGACCCCAGAGACGGGCGCGAGCCGCGGCUGAAAGCGCGGA